GCACUCGCUUCAGCAGCACAUAUACUAAAAUUAGAACAAUACAGAGAUUAGCGUGGCCCCUGCACAAGGAUGACAUGCAAAUUUAUGAAGCAUUCCAUAUAUUU